rnacentral:rRNA from 1 species
CCUACGGGGGGCUGCAGUGGGGAAUAUUGCACAAUGGGCGCAAGCCUGAUGCAGCGACGCCGCGUGCGGGAUGACGGCCUUCGGGUUGUAAACCGCUUUUGAUCGGGAGCAAGCCUUCGGGUGAGUGUACCUUUCGAAUAAGCACCGGCUAACUACGUGCCAGCAGCCGCGGUAAUACGUAGGGUGCAAGCGUUAUCCGGAAUUAUUGGGCGUAAAGGGCUCGUAGGCGGUUCGUCGCGUCCGGUGUGAAAGUCCAUCGCUUAACGGUGGAUCUGCGCCGGGUACGGGCGGGCUGGAGUGCGGUAGGGGAGACUGGAAUUCCCGGUGUAACGGUGGAAUGUGUAGAUAUCGGGAAGAACACCAAUGGCGAAGGCAGGUCUCUGGGCCGUUACUGACGCUGAGGAGCGAAAGCGUGGGGAGCGAACAGGAUUAGAUACCCCAGUAGUC